rnacentral:snRNA from 1 species
AUACUUACCUGGCAGGGGAGAUACCAUGAUCAAGAAGGUGGUUCACCCAGGGCGAGGCUCAGCCAUUGCACUCCGGCUGUGCUGACCCCUGCGAAUUCCCCAAAUGUGGGAAUCUCGACUGCAUAAUUUC